GAUCCUGGCCCAGGAUGAACGCUAGCUACAGGCUUAACACAUGCAAGUCGAGGGGCAGCAUGGUCUUAGCUUGCUAAGGCCGAUGGCGACCGGCGCACGGGUGAGUAACACGUAUCCAACCUGCCGUCUACUCUUGGACAGCCUUCUGAAAGGAAGAUUAAUACAAGAUGGCAUCAUGAGUUCACAUGUUCACAUGAUUAAAGGUAUUCCGGUAGACGGUGGGGAUGCGUU
rnacentral:rRNA from 1 species